rnacentral:rRNA from 1 species
UACGUAGGGUGCAAGCGUUGUCCGGAAUUAUUGGGCGUAAAGAGCUCGUAGGCGGUUCGUCGCGUCGGCUGUGAAAUCCCGGAGCUCAACUCCGGGUCUGCAGUCGAUACGGGCGGACUCGAGUUCGGCAGGGGAGACUGGAAUUCCUGGUGUAGCGGUGAAAUGCGCAGAUAUCAGGAGGAACACCGGUGGCGAAGGCGGGCUCUGGGCCAACAACUGACGCUGAGGAGCGAAAGCGUGGGGGAGCGAAACAGGG